CAGGGUAACGUGCAGAGCUGGAAACUCAUCGACACUCAUCCUGCAGGUCCUCGUACCCUGGAGAUCAGGCUCUGGAGCUGGGGAGAUUUGUCGUCGCCAGGGCAACAGCUGGAGCACGUCUCUCUGUGAAACAGACCCGCCAGACACUCUGGCCAAUGGCUGACAUCUGAACGAUGGCAUGGAGCUGCCAAGCAAGCACGUAUCCUGGAUUUCAUCCUGCUAUAGCCCAAGACGCUGAGCUUUUGAGGGUGUGGAGCACAAACCUCAACUGAACAAGCCUACAUGGACACUCAGAAACCAAAAACACUAGUCUCACUGAAUAUUCUCCUGCUUAUUGUACAUUCUUGGCGUUCCUACUGUACACGAGAACACGGACGAAAAGGCGGGAAAGGGAGGGGAGAGACUUGCAGCUCAUCACCCUGCCAAAUGGGCCUGUGCCAGCCCCCGUCUGUAGCCGAGGCCGUGUCACUCCGGAGCGACGGCGUGGGCGGCCGCUAACGGGCUAACAGGCUAAAUGCACAACGCGUUCGCUUAUCUGCUCUGAGCCAG